GAUGAACGCUGGCGGCGUGCCUAAUACAUGCAAGUCGAGCGAACGGACGAGAAGCUUGCUUCUCUGAUGUUAGCGGCGGACGGGUGAGUAACACGUGGAUAACCUACCUAUAAGACUGGGAUAACUUCGGGAAACCGUAGCUAAUACCGGAUAAUAUUUUGAACCGCAUGGUUCAAAAGUGAAAGACGGUCUUGCUGUCACUUAUAGAUGGAUCCGCGCUGCAUUAGCUAGUUGGUAAGGUAACGGCUUACCAAGGCAACGAUGCAUAGCCGACCUGAGAGGGUGAUCGGCCACACUGGAACUGAGACACGGUCCAGACUCCUACGGGAGGCAGCAGUAGGGAAUCUUCCGCAAUGGGCGAAAACCUGACGGAGCAACGCCGCGUGAGUGAUGAAGGUCUUCGGAUCGUAAAACUCUGUUAUUAGGGAAGAACAUAUGUGUAAGUAACUGUGCACAUCUUGACGGUACCUAAUCAGAAAGCCACGGCUAACUACGUG
rnacentral:rRNA from 1 species